GUCAGAACGCCGCCAGGCCAUUGCAUCAGUUUCGAGGCAGCAAUGUUUUUAUUUCCUGAACAAGUGAGAUAGAGAUGAAUGCGCAGAAUUUUGUCGUAGCAAAUGUGUGCGCAUUUCAUUCGAAAUUUUGAAGGGUAUUUUGGAGUUGAAUGUGAUGUGAGAGGCUCCUGGCCGGGAAUUUCACAGCCCCAUGCUGUGGAUUUCCAGUGACCUUGCAACCUCGAAGCCACGAGGACUCAAGGCAGCAGUACCACUACCAUUCACAGCCUCUCCACAGCGUCGAAUCCACUCCAUUCCAACCACGAGGAGCAAUCACAAAACAGGCCGAAACGCAGUGAAACUUCUCUGCUUUCAAAACACGCUCUAGAAACCAAAACGCAAGAGAAAAUACAAAUGUGGGUUCAUGAGAAAUUAAGAUCUGAAGUCAUUGCUGGUAGCAUGAUCUCAUUGCUCCAAGUAUGAUCCAUUGUAUGCAUUCGUACAGGUUCUCAGCAGCAGUGAAACGUUGAGAUGGAUGCCGGUAGCUAUUGGAUUGAAUACAAUAGCAACCGAUGAUCUUAAGGGAUUGUUGUUAUUUGGGAAAAUAUCAUACAUACCCCUCAAAUAUGUUGAAAUAACAAGAAUACCCCUACAUUCUUGAUAAUAGUAAAUGUGUCCCUCAAAGUUUUGAUAAUAGCAAAAAUACCCUUGGUUUGAUAA